GUCCUAAGAUACUGGAUCUUUGUUGUGAAGCCUACUUCAUCAAAUGCUGGGUUGUUUACCCACUACUAAGAAUGUGAGCUGGCAUUAGGCCAUGGUGAGAUAUGGCAGUUUUACCCUACUGAUGCUGCGAUGUGUGGUUACCACAGAAAUCGUGCUCCAUACAAACAGAAAAGGAGUGUGGUAAAUUUUUGAGGAAGGCAUCUGUGAAAGCCAGUGAGGCCAAGCAGGAGUAUUUGGGAUUCAGCUCAGGUCGAGACCAAAGAAGCAAUUCUACCUCGCAAGUGCUGCAGCUGGUUUCCUCCAGUGUCCCUCCAUUCAUAGCAAGGGAAGGAGUGACCGACUCAUACAAGAUUAGCUUAAAAGGAAAAUCAAUACCGCUCCCUCAUCCUCAUCAAGUCUUGAGCCACGCUGGCCAGGAUCCAAGGAGGAAAGGCUCAAGUGGAAAACACUUGGCUGCCAGUGAGAACGAUACUCGGAGAUGCAUACCAGGUUAUUUGAACUUCUGCCAAUGAAUGCAUCACUAGAAGUUGGAGGUAACGUGGCUUUCUUCCAACCAUCUGGUUUAAUUGAAAAAUAUAAAUGUUGGAAAACAAUAAA